rnacentral:lncRNA from 1 species
AACCUAUUUAAGCCUAAAACAUGGUCAUGGCACAUGCCCACUGAAAGUUUAGAUUUAUGGAUCAUAAAGAAUGUAAUCACCUUUUAAAAAAAAUAGCCAAUUUUUCUUUUUAUUUGGGGGGGGGGGGGGGGGGAGCAUGUCAAAUUGAAAACCCUAUAACCUAAAACACCCUACAACCAGUAAAGCACAUUGUGAAACAUCAGCAGUAGAGGGCAGGUCAAAAUUAAUGUGUCAAACGAAGCAGAAAUUGUGAAACACUAGCAACAGAGAGCAGGUCAAAGUCGAACAAAGCAGAAUUGCAGCAUGAAAGGGACGAUGACAAGGAGAGGAACGAGGUUGCAGCACG